rnacentral:rRNA from 1 species
AUUGAACGCUGGCGGCAUGCUUUACACAUGCAAGUCGAACGGCAGCGGGGAGGAGCUUGCUUCUCUGCCGGCGAGUGGCGAACGGGUGAGUAAUACAUCGGAACGUGUCGAGAAGAGGGGGAUAACCACCCGAAAGGGUGGCUAAUACCGCAUAAAUUCUGAGGAAGAAAGUUGGGGACCUGGGAAUAGGCCUAGCGCUUUUUGAGCGGCCGAUGUCGGAUUAGCUAGUUGGUGAGGUAAAGGCUCACCAAGGCGAAGAUCUGUAGCGGGUCUGAGAGGAUGAUCCGCCACACUGGGACUGAGACACGGCCCAGACUCCUACGGGAGGCAGCAGUGGGGAAUUUUGGACAAUGGGGGCAACCCUGAUCCAGCCAUGCCGCGUGUAUGAAGAAGGCCUUAGGGUUGUAAAGUACUUUUGUUAGGGAAGAAAAGUCAGCUGUGAAUAAUGGCUGAUACUGACGGUACCUAAAGAAUAAGCACCGGCUAACUACGUG